rnacentral:rRNA from 1 species
GUAGUCCAUGCCGUAAACGUUGGGCACUAGGUGUGGGGGACAUUCCACGUUUUCCGCGCCGUAGCUAACGCAUUAAGUGCCCCGCCUGGGGAGUACGGCCGCAAGGCUAAAACUCAAAGGAAUUGACGGGGGCCCGCACAAGCGGCGGAGCAUGCGGAUUAAUUCGAUGCAACGCGAAGAACCUUACCAAGGCUUGACAUGGACCGGACCGCUGCAGAGAUGCAGCUUCCCUUCGGGGCUGGUUCACAGGUGGUGCAUGGUUGUCGUCAGCUCGUGUCGUGAGAUGUUGGGUUAAGUCCCGCAACGAGCGCAACCCUUGUCCUAUGUUGCCAGCACGUAAAGGUGGGGACUCAUGGGAGACUGCCGGGGUCAACUCGGA